GCGGCAGUGGCGGAAUUGGCAGACGCGCUAGAUUCAGGGUCUAGUGAACGUACGUUCAUGGGGGUUCAAGUCCCUUCUGCCGCACCA
rnacentral:tRNA from 1 species